ACCGGCCUGUGCUACAGACCUAUUUAUGUACGACAUUAGAGUAAAGCAGUUCCUUCUUAAAAGCCGUUAUCUUUUGAUUUCGCUUACUAGACGAACAUCUUCUUAGUGCCUCCAUAAGUAUUGAUUCUGAAAAUCUGGCCAUAAUGCCUAUACCCUAUGAUGUAUGGCAGGUUAACUAAUUUAAAGGUAAGUAAAGAUGUCCAAGAAAACUGGCAAAGUUAAAUGGUUCAAUGAGAGCAAAGGUUUUGGUUUUAUUGAGCAAGAUGAUGGUGGUAAAGACGUAUUCGUUCACUUCUCUGCUAUCGCUAGUGAAGGUUUCAAAACUCUGGCUGAAGGUCAGAAAGUAGAAUAUACCAUUCAAGACAGCCCACGCGGUCCAGCAGCUGCAAACGUUGUUGCUCUGUAAUUAGCAGCAAACGUUUAUAGAGAUAAAUAAGAUAAGCCUUUGGCUUUCUUAACUC
rnacentral:sRNA from 1 species